rnacentral:rRNA from 1 species
CGUGUAGGCGGUCUGAUUAGUCUGAUGUGAAAGCCCUGGGCUCAACCCGGGAAGUGCAUUGGAUACUGUCAGACUUGAAUACGGGAGAGGGUAGUGGAAUUCCUAGUGUAGGAGUGAAAUCCGUAGAUAUUAGGAGGAACACCGGUGGCGAAGGCGGCUACCUGGACCGAUAUUGACGCUGAGACGCGAAAGCGUGGGUAGCAAACA